UUUCUUCACCUGCAAAACGGGAAUGACAAUCCCUCGUGUCAGAAAGUUUCUGUGAUGAUUGUGAGAGAAGGUGGAAAGGCAGUAACACAGGGCCUGACCCAUAGUUUUAUGAAAUGUUAGCUGAAGAAGCUAUCAGUUCCCUAGGGAAUGAGGAGAGCAUGGAGCCCAGGGGCACAGUGUGGGGAACAGAAGGAGCUCUGGGCUCAUGUUGGGAGAGGAAGGAGAGUGGGGCAGGAGGUGGGGCAAGGGGCCAGCACUAAGCCACAGUGUUCCAACAAAAAGAGAAAAUGCCACCCACCACGGAGCCCGGAUGGCUCCCGAGUCUGCCUACCACCUAAAUUCUGGCAAAGUCAGGAGGUGUGCGUAUUGGCAGGCCAGCACCUCAUGGGUUAACAUCAGGUGCCAGCCUACCUGCCUGCCAAGGGCCACAUGUUUCAAGUGGAAAUAAGGCGCUUCUGGAUGCCAAAUGUUAUCACUGUGAUCAACCACAGCCUAAAAGACCCGCAGCGUGACUUGAGCCUUUUCAUUAGCAAUGAGAUGCCACAACAGGAACAACUUAAUACACCUGAAACCCAAGGCAGACACCCAAUCCCUGGAGCCAGGGUGGCUCCAGUUACCAAGCCCAAGGCUCAGGAAGGCCCCCAGCCCCUCCUCGACAGGAAACCAGCAUGUGCUGGACAUGUGGAGCUCACGGGGUUGUGGCAGGAGGUCACCUCCAAAGAGGUCACCCUGAACAACCCCAAAACAAGCUUUAGGGAAAGGCAGACCCUGCGGGGGGGGGGGGGGGGGAAGGGGGUGAUGGCUGCCUGACUUUGCCAGUCCAGACAAGGCAUCAGAAUAAUCCCCAUCUCAAAAUCCCCUUGUCUCAGCAACAAAGACCCGUAACAGCAAAAGACCAAAGACGCCAUCUUCCCCCUGAGUGACAAGGACACAGCCUCGCUGUCUGCUGGACCACACGCCACCACCUGACUUCCUCCUCUUACCCAAUUGCAGACUGAUGGUCCCUCAUGCUGGCCUCAUCCUGGGGAGAAGGCGCACCAGGCUCUCCAGGCAAAUGCAUUACUCAGCAUUUGCACUGUCUUGCUCUGGGAGGGAUGGGAAGCAGAAAUAAAAGAGGCAGCCCUGGUCUUUGGCAGACAGAACCCUGA